rnacentral:rRNA from 1 species
CCAAUAGCGUAUAUUAAAGUUGUUGCAGUUAAAAAGCUCGUAGUUGAAUUUCGGGGUCAGUAGGUUGGUCGUGCCACUGGUACGUACUGGCCUCACUGAUUCCUCCUUCCUGAUGAACCGUAAUGCCAUUAAUUUGGUGUUGCGGGGAAUCUGGACUGUUACUUUGAAAAAAUUAGAGUGUUUAAAGCAGGCUAACGCUUGAAUACAUUAGCAUGGAAUAAUGGAAUAGGACGUUCGAUCCUAUUUUGUUGGUUUCUAGGAUUGACGUAAUGAUUAAUAGGGAUAGUUGGGGGCAUUAGUAUUCAAUUGUCAGAGGUGAAAUUCUUGGAUUUAUUGAAGACUAACUACUGCGAAAGCAUUUGCCAAGGAUGUUUUCAUUAAUCAAGAACGAAAGUUAGGGGAUCGAAGACGAUCAGAUACCGUCGUAGUCUUAACCAUAAACUAUGCCGACUAGGGAUCGGAUGAUGUUAAUUUUUUAAUGACUCAUUCGGCGCCUUACG